rnacentral:rRNA from 1 species
CCUACGGGAGGCAGCAGUGGGGAAUCCUGCGCAAUGGCCUAACGGCCGACGCAGCGACGCCGCGUGAGGGAUGACGCUCCUCGGAGUGUAAACCUCUUUUGCCUGAGACGAAUUGCCAGCUUAGGCGGGAUUGACGGUACCGGGUGAGGAAGCACCGGCUAACUCCGUGCCAGCAGCCGCGGUAAU